ensembl:bidirectional_promoter_lncRNA
GGGUUGGCCUGAGUGUUUAAAUUAACCACAGUGCUGGCCCCGUGGCCCUGUGACUUCGACAGGGGGAUGUUCUUUUCCCAAUGGAGUAUGAUGUGUGUAUCUGCUUCUUCCCCUUCUCUUCCAUAAGGAGACAGCUUCGGCUAGAAUAAGGCCUCCGUGACAGGACUGUCUUCCCUACUCCAAGAACAGGAUACAACUAGCCUCUAGACUUCUCCAAAUGUUGGAUAAGCACUUCAAUGCCCGAUUCCAUCUCUGCCCUAUCUACCUGGAAACCCUACUUGGCUGUGUCAAGAGAUGAAAGCCACGCUAUCACCCGCCAGCUGCUCCAUCCACACUGGGCACUGGAAUCAUAACCAGACCCAAUGUUUGUCUUUCGCCUCCUACCUGAGAGAAGACAGGCAGUGUGUUCUGCAUGGAAAGCUAUACCCAGAAUCUCUUCACUGUGUACCAGCUGGACAAGCAUAAUUGAGGGAGGUUCAGCUGGAAAGGCCAGCAGUGGAAUCCAGUGGCGAGCCUGGCAUUCUGUGCUGUGUGCUGCUUAUUCACCAGAGCCUUGUCUACAGCACCACUGACUCUGAACUGGGGCAGCAGCACACAGGUUCUCUCCAGUCUCAGAAACACAAGGGCCUGCCCCGAAGGUCAGGAGCAGCAUCCACACUUAGGGAGAGAGCACCUGUCAGGCAAGUUAUCACUGCUUCCGGUUUCGUGGAACUAUUCCAAUGUAGCCAGGUCCCUCUGGAGUCCAGAAGAGAGAUCCUCUUGUUUAUUGAGCAGGGGUUAAAUCUGGUAUUCUCUGAUAUUUUUGGUCUGGCAAACCUCACUGCUAGAUAAAUGUAUAUACUCUCCCUG